CCUGUUGGAAUAAAAGUGUGUUUAGUUCAGAGCAGCAGCACUGGUGUGUGAGCCUCUCCUCUGUCUGUGUGUGUGUGUGGGGUUGAUUUCAUCAGCCUGUUGGAAUAAAAGUGUGUUUCGUUCAGAGCAGCAGCACUGGUGUGUGAGCCUCUCCUCUGCAGGCUCAGUAGAAUGGCCCUCAUCAGGAUCCUGAUUGCUGGGGGGCUGCUGAGCUGCCUCUACUCUCUCUGCUCCUCCACAGGAACACCAGAGCCGUCUUUCUUGGUGACCUUUCCUGCCCUGAUGAGGUCAGAGUCAGAAGCCCAGCUCUGUGCCAGCCUCCUGAGUCCAAAUGAGACUCUGCUCAUGUCCAUAUAUCUGAUUAAGGAGACGAGAAGCACCCUCUUUACCAGGAAACAUCAUACAAUGACUUUCGCCGCGUUUUCCAGUUCAAUGGAGACGAGAAGAAGACUCUUCACCAGGAAACAUCAGACAAGGACUUUCACCGCUGUUUCCAGUUCCAGCUACAAGCCCCAUAUUCGCAACAUGUUGGGCCACGCCCCCAUCAACAGCGCAAGACACAAACCAACGUGCCUGCAUUCUGACAGCGCUUCAAUGGAGACUAGCAGCUAACCACUGGAUACCACUGUAACUAACAGACAUUUCCAAGUCCAGGGGUGAAGCUCCAGCGCAACCUCAACUAAAUUUCCCCAAGACACUCCAGGAAGACUGAAACAGGAGCUUCAAGGGUGAGUGGUAUGCAGUCCACCCCUGGUUAGAAUACUCCAUAAGUGAAGACUCUACCUCUAACAAACAAAAAUGACAAUUAUGUAAAAUGAUUUACAUGGAUCUACACUC